GGCGGCGUGCUAUACCUGCAAGUCGAGCGGACAGAAGGGAGCUUGCUUCCGGGAUGUAGCGGCGGACGGGUGAGUAACACGUGGGUAACCUGCCUGUAAGACUGGGAUAACUCCGGGAAACCGGAGCUAAUACCGGAUAGUUCCUGAACCGCAUGGUUCAAGGAUGAAAGACGGUUUCGGCUGUCACUUACAGAUGGACCGCGGCGCAUAGCUAGUUGGUGAGGUAACGGCUCACCAAGGCGACGAUGCGUAGCCGACCUGAGAGGGUGAUCGGCCACACUGGGACUGAGACACGGCCCAGACUCCUACGGGAGGCAGCAGUAGGGAAUCUUCCGCAAUGGACGAAAGUCUGACGGAGCAACGCCGCGUGAGUGAUGAAGGUUUCGGAUCGUAAAGCUCUGUUGUUAGGGAAGAACAAGUGCAAGAGUAACUGCUUGCACCUUGACGGUACCUAACCAGAAAGCCACGGCUAACUACGUGCCAGCAGCCGCGGUAAUACGUAGGUGGCAGCGUUGUCCGGAAUUAUUGGGCGUAAAGGGCUCGCAGGCGGUUUCUUAAGUCUGAUGUGAAAGCCCCCGGCUCAACCGGGGAGGGUCAUUGGAAACUGGGAAACUUGAGUGCAGAAGAGGAGAGUGGAAUUCCACGUGUAGCGGUGAAAUGCGUAGAGAUGUGGAGGAACACCAGUGGCGAAGGCGACUCUCUGGUCUGUAACUGACGCUGAGGAGCGAAAGCGUGGGGAGCGAACAGGAUUAGAUACCCUGGUAGUCCACGCCGUAAACGAUGAGUGCUAAGUGUUAGGGGGUUUCCGCCCCUUAGUGCUGCAGCUAACGCAUUAAGCACUCCGCCUGGGGAGUACGGUCGCAAGACUGAAACUCAAAGGAAUUGACGGGGGCCCGCACAAGCGGUGGAGCAUGUGGUUUAAUUCGAAGCAACGCGAAGAACCUUACCAGGUCUUGACAUCCUCUGACAACCCUAGAGAUAGGGCUUUCCCUUCGGGGACAGAGUGACAGG
rnacentral:rRNA from 1 species